rnacentral:rRNA from 1 species
UACGUAGGGGGCAAGCGUUGUCCGGAAUCAUUGGGCGUAAAGAGCGUGUAGGCGGCCAGAAAAGUCCGCUGUGAAAACUCGAGGCUCAACUUCGGAGCUGUCGGUGGAAACUUUCUGGCUAGAGUCCGGAAGAGGAGAAUGGAAUUCCUGGUGUAGCGGUGAAAUGCGCAGAUAUCAGGAGGAACACCGAUGGCGAAGGCAGGUCUCUGGGCCACUACUGACGCUGAGACGCGAAAGCGUGGGGAGCGAACAGG